UUCCGUAGGUGAACCUGCGGAAGGAUCAUUACAGAGUUCAUGCCCUCACGGGUAGAUCUCCCACCCUUGAAUACUAUACCUUUGUUGCUUUGGCGGGCCGCUUCGGCUACUGGCUCCGGCUGGUGAGUGCCCGCCAAAGGAUCCCAAAACUCUGAAUAUUUGUGUCGUCUGAGUACUAUAUAAUAGUUAAAACUUUCAACAACGGAUCUCUUGGUUCUGGCAUCGAUGAAGAACGCAGCGAAAUGCGAUAAGUAAUGUGAAUUGCAGAAUUCAGUGAAUCAUCGAAUCUUUGAACGCACAUUGCGCCCCUUGGUAUUCCGAGGGGCAUGCCCGUUCGAGCGUCAUUAUAACCCCUCAAGCCCAGCUUGGUGUUGGGGCCUGCUGUUACCGGCAGCCCUUAAAAUCAGUGGCGGUGCCAUCUGGCUCUAAGCGUAGUAAUACUUCUCGCUACAGGGUCCUGGUGGAUGCUUGCCAUCAACCCCUAAAUUUCU
rnacentral:rRNA from 1 species